rnacentral:lncRNA from 1 species
AGCCCUACAUCUUCUUAGUCAGUUGGGGGCCCACGUGUCACUGAAAAAGUAAUUUUAUUCUUCAGUUAUUUGAUUUAAAGUAUGUAUGAAUAUAUUUAGCUUUUACACCAUGUUUUUGACGAGUUUUGGUAUUUUUGAAGAAAAAUGAUGAAAAUGCCCCUAUGAGCCAGAAAGUAAUAUUUUAUUGUUUUGAUUUGGAAAUGACUUAUGAUUUUUUUUGAAAUGUGAAAUUUAAUAACUGUCACUCACUGGGGAGAUGUAGAAGCUGAUGCUAAGCCUUGCGGGGUUUCGAUCGGCAUUCGGGGUAAUGAGUGCCUAUCGGGACGUCGCGACGGUUGUCACGGGCUCGAUGGGAGUUCCGGGUCGUGACAUA